rnacentral:rRNA from 1 species
AUGACAAUAGGUGUGCAGCAUAUCCAUCGAGUUGAUCUCAUGUCACUAGAGGUGGGAUGGGAGCUACUUUGGAAGAGCAUGAAUAUUGAUGAAGAGAAAGAAGUGCAAAAUCUAAAAAACAUCGGGAUUGAGAUUAUUCAUAAAUGCGGCUGCCUCCCUCUUGUAAUCAAGGUUACCGCUAGUGUUUUGGCAAGCAGAGGUCGUACGGAGAAUGAGUGGAAAAGGUUUUUGGGCAGAUAUGCUGGAUCCCAGAGCAUGCUUUCUGAUGAAAUAGAAAGAGCUAUACGUCUAAGCUACGACGAGUUACCGCAUCGUCUGAAGCAGUGUUUCCUUUAUUGUGCUUUGCAUAUUGAAGAUUCUCUCAUUCGGCGUGGAGAAAUUGGCCGGUUAUGGAUUGCUGAAGGGUUCAUCAUGGAGCAGCAAGGCCAAUCACUAGAAGACAUAGCAGAAGAGUACUUCUACGAGCUAAUCCAUCGAAACCUCCUCCAACCAGAUAACAAAUAUUUUGAUCAGGAGAGAUGUAGAAUGCAUGACCUCCUGAGACAGUUUGCUUUAAAUAUAUCAAGAGAAGAAUGUUUUGUUGGAGACGUUGAAACAUUAAGAGGUGAAAAUAUGUCAAAGCUGCGACGUGUUACGGCUGUCACUAAGAAGGAUAUAUUGGUGUUACCUAGAGUCGAUAAGGUGGUAGUUAAGGUGAGGACUUUCCUAAGUGUUCAUGGUGCACAGAGAAUGGAGGAUGCAUUGUUCAAGAGAUUUCUGCUUCUUCGUGUUCUGGUGCUGAAUUACUCACUUGUACAAAGUGUUCCAGAUUGUAUAGGAAAAUUGAUCCAUCUAUGUCUACUUGAUCUGAAUUAUACUGGCAUAUCUUGUCUUCCAGAAUCCAUUGGCUCCCUAAGAAACCUUCAAGUAUUGAGCUUGGAUUAUUGUGGUUCUCUGCAUAGUCUUCCUUCAACAAUGACCCAGUUGUGCAGUUUAAGAUGUCUUUCUCUUGAUGGUACAAAAAUAGAUCAGAUUCCAAAAGGGAUAGCAAAACUGAAGUUCCUCAAUACUUUACAAGGAUUCCCUGUAGGUGAUGGAAGUGAUAAUGUUAAUGUACAAGAUGGAUGCAAGUUGGAAGACUUGUCUUAUGUGUCGCAGAUGAGGGAUCUUGGCCUUGUUAAAUUGGAAAGAGCAGCUCAUUGUGCUACAAAUGCAGUGCUGACAGACAAAAUGCAUCUAAAAAACCUAAGUCUAAGGUGGACUGAACGUGGAGAUGGGCAAUAUUCAGAAGAAGACAUUAGCAAUGCUGAGCGGGUCUUGGAGCAGCUAGUACCUCCAAUUAACUUGGAACACCUGUGGAUUUUAAUUUCUUUGGCCAGCGGUAUCCCACCUGGUUUGGUACCACCUGUUUGCCUUCACUGGAGCAUUUGGGCCUCGGGAAUGUAA